CCAGACUCCUACGGGAGGCAGCAGUGGGGAAUAUUGGACAAUGGGGGGAACCCUGAUCCAGCGACGCCGCGUGAGUGAAGAAGUAUUUCGGUAUGUAAAGCUCUAUCAGCAUUUAAGAAAGAAAUGACGGUACCUUACUCAUAAGCCCCUUCUAACUACGUGCCAGCAUCCGCGGUAAUCCUUAGGGGGCAAGCUUUAUCCGGAUUCACUUUGUGUAAAGGGAGCGUAGACGGCGACGCAAGUCUGGAGUGAAAGCCCGGGGGCCAACCCCGGGACUGCUCUGGAAACUGCGGCGCUGGAGUACGGGAGGGGUAGGCGGAAUUCCUGGUGUAGCGGUGAAAUGCGUAGAUAUAAGGAGGAACACCGGCGGCGAAGGCGGCCUGCUGGACCGUGACUGACGUUGAGGCUCGAGAGCGUGGGGAGCAAACAGGAUUAGAUACCCUAGUAUAA
rnacentral:rRNA from 1 species